rnacentral:rRNA from 1 species
UACGGAGGGUGCAAGCGUUAAUCGGAAUUACUGGGCGUAAAGCGCACGCAGGCGGUCUGUCAAGUCGGAUGUGAAAUCCCCGGGCUCAACCUGGGAACUGCAUCCGAAACUGGCAGGCUAGAGUCUUGUAGAGGGGGGUAGAAUUCCAGGUGUAGCGGUGAAAUGCGUAGAGAUCUGGAGGAAUACCGGUGGCGAAGGCGGCCCCCUGGACAAAGACUGACGCUCAGGUGCGAAAGCGUGGGGAGCAAACAGGAUUAGAUACCCUGGUAGUCCACGCCGUAAACGGUGGCGACUUGGGGGUUGGGGCCUUGAGGCGUGGCUUCCGGAGCUAACGCGUUAAGUCGACCGCCUGGGGAGUACGGCCGCAAGGUUAAA